UACGAAGGGGGCUAGCGUUGCUCGGAAUCACUGGGCGUAAAGGGUGCGUAGGCGGGUCUUUUAAGUCAGAGGUGAAAUCCUGGAGCUCAACUCCAGAACUGCCUUUGAUACUGAAGAUCUUGAGUUCGGGAGAGGUGAGUGGAACUGCGAGUGUAGAGGUGAAAUUCGUAGAUAUUCGCAAGAACACCAGUGGCGAAGGCGGCUCACUGGCCCGAUACUGACGCUGACGGC
rnacentral:rRNA from 1 species